rnacentral:tRNA from 2 species
GGAGACGUCGCAUAGCCAGGUCUAGUGCGCCACCCUGCUAAGGUGGAGUGCCCGAAAGGGUACCGUGGGUUCAAAUCCCACCGUCUCCG